GUUUUGGACAACUCAUCUGAUGUCUGUUUGGUGGGACUCCUAACAAACGCUGUGGUGCAGCUAUUGCAGAGGUGGAGACUACACCAAAGAGAGCCAGGGUAGCUCAUACUCCUCAAAGAUCUGCUGUGCUCCCAUCCCCACAGACAUUCCCGCUGCCCACUCCCAAGCGGCCAGUCCAGAGACCUCCUGUGCUUCCUUCCCCAAUGCCUCUCCAACUGUCAACUCCCGUGCGGCCAGUCCAAGUGCCCGCGGCCACAUACACACCUACAGCUGGGAGGCAGAAGGUGCUAGCUGGCUGGGCAGCUCCUUCUCCUGCUC